AGCUUAUUCCAGACCUCUAUGCCAGCUCAAUCUUCUCCAAAUGUGCUCUCAGGACUCCUGAUAUUAUCUUCAUGAAUAGUAUUUAUUUUUUGAUACAUACCUCUCUCUCUCCUCUCCUCUCCUCUCCUCUCCUCUCCUCUCUCUGUCUCAGAUGCUGGAGCUUGAACCCAGGCCCUCAUUCAUGAUAACCAUGUGCUCUACCAUUAAUCUAUCCUUAGCUACACCUCCCAGCCCUCCUUAGCCUCUCUCUUUCUCAUCACAUUUUAUUCCACUGAGGAUAAGAUAGUGACUUCCUUACCAUAGCAUCUAAAGCAACUGCACCCAUACCUGGGAUAUCAUAGGUGGAUAUCUACUGAAUGUAUAAAUGUACUUCGUCCUUACAUUGUAUUAAUGCUGAAGUCAUAAGAAAGGUUGAUUCACCCUAUGGUCUCUGCCUAUAGUAAUUUCAAAUAAGAACAUGGCAAGAAGACAAGCAAAGAAUUAAAAAAAAAUACGGUAUGAUUAAUAGUAAUAAUAGGUGGCAAUAAAUGUUUAGAGAGGUGUCAAAGUGCUUGACGAAAUGAUUGAGAUAAAAUAAAAUCCUUGAAGCUUUUACAUUUUCUCUUUGGUAUUUAAACAGUUCUGGGAAAAGGGUAUUUUGCCCUUGUUCAAGGCAGUGAAUGAUUAAUUUAUCAUCAUUUUUUCCCAAAACUGAAAGUGAUCAUGCCAAAGAGAAGUAUGGCAGAUUGCCUUAUGACUUUCAUCUGGAAGAAGUUUAAAGCUUGUGUUUUCAAUUCACUACUUUUUUUAAAAAUUCAGUUCAUAAUUGAUCACAAUUAAUGUAGGCAGACAUGAGAUUGUAUAGAAAUUUUAUUGCAGCAAAUAGAUUACAAUGUUCCUCCAAGAGGAACAUGAGGAACUACUCUACUUGAAAAAUAUCUAAUGGUGUCUCAUUUAAACUGAUCACCAAGUGAGCUGCUUCCCUUUGCCACACUCUUCUGCCAUUAUGUUCUGCCUCACCUUGAGCCCCAGGGAAUGGAACCAGCCUUCUAUGAAUUAAGACCUCUGAAACUAUGAGUCCUCAAGUAAACUUUUCCCCUUCUGAAUUUUUUUUGAGAAGAUCUUUUAGUCACAGCAGCAAAAGAGCUGACUUAAACAUGUAUGUUGAACCAACUCUGCAUCACAUGUAUGAAUCCCACUUGCUAAUGGUACACUCUUUUUAAUAUGUAUUUUAUGUGCUUUGCCAGAAUUUUAUUGAGAAUUUUUAAUCUAUAUAAAUUAGAGAUAUUUGUCUGAAGUUUUUUUUUCCUUGAUGUGUCUUUGUCUGGUGAUACUAUCUACAUAGAAUGAGUUUGGAAGUGUUCUCUCCUUUUCUAUUUCAUGGAAUAAUUUCAGGAGUAUUGGUGUUAAUUCUUCUUCAAAGGUCUGAUAGAAUUCAGCUGAGAAUCUGUCUAGUCCUGGGCUUUUCUUAGUUUGUAGACUUUUUAAAAUUUUUUAAAUUUGUUUUAAUUAAUUAUACAUGAGAGUAGAAUGCAUUUAUGCACUUUAAUAUAUAAUACAUAGAUGGAAUAUAUUUUUUCAUUUUUCUGAGGGUUCAUGUCACAGAAUUACAUUGAUCAUGCAGUCACAUAUAUACAUAAAGUAAUAAUAUCUCUUUCAUUCUACUAUCCUUCCUAUCCCCACAUUCCUACCCCUUUCCUCCCAUCACUUCCCUCUACCUAAUCUAACUAUUCUCUAGGGCAUCCCACCUCAUUAUGAAUUAGCACCCACAUAUUAGAGAAAACAUUUGGCUUUUUUGGUAUUGGAUUAUUUCACUUAGCAUGAUAUUCUCCAACUCCAUCCAUUUACUGGCAAAUGUCAUAAUUUCAUUCUUCUUUAAAGCUGAGUAAUAUUCCAUUGAAUAUAUAUACUACAUUUUUUUUAACAAUUUAUCUAUUGAAGGACACCUAGGUUGGUUACAUAGUUUAGUCAUUGUGAAUGGAGCUGCUAUAACUGUGAUGUGGCUGCAUUACUGUAGUAUGCUGAUUUUAAGUCUUUGGGGUAUAAACCGAGGAGUGGGAUAGCUGGGUCAAACAGUUGUUCCAUUCCAAGUUUUCUGAGGAAUCUCCAUACUGCUUUCCAUAGUGGUUGUACCAAUUUGCAGCACCACCUGCAAUGUAUGAGUUUACCUUUUUCCCCCACAUCCUCA
rnacentral:lncRNA from 1 species